ensembl:rRNA 5S_rRNA 5S ribosomal RNA
UGCUACAGCCAUAUCACCCUGCAGCCCAAGACUGGUUACUCACUGAAGCUAAGCAGGGCUGAGCCUGGUCGGUACCAGGAUGGAAACCACAUGGGAAAACUAGGAAGUGGUGUUAA